AAGAAGAGAUUUGGUAGGGGAUGUUUUUGUCUUCAAAUACAAAGUGAAGGGCUCAUUAAAGACCAAAUUACACAUGGCCAGAUUCUUUUUCAGGUAUUCCUAUGGCCUUCAUUCAUAAUAUAAUUAGAACAUUAAAUCAUAUAUUUUACACAUUUAAUAAAAAAAACAUAGUUCAAAAAUACUUAAGAGUUAAUGUGGCUAAAAAUUAGAAGGCACAUUAU
rnacentral:lncRNA from 1 species